UAGGGAAUCUUCGGCAAUGGGGGGAACCCUGACCGAGCAACGCCGCGUGAGUGAAGAAGGUUUUCGGAUCGUAAAGCUCUGUUGUUAAGGAAGAACGAGUGUGAGAAUGGAAAGUUCAUGCUGUGACGGUACUUAACCAGAAAGGGACGGCUAACUACGUGCCAGCAGCCGCGGUAAUACGUAGGUCCCGAGCGUUGUCCGGAUUUAUUGGGCGUAAAGCGAGCGCAGGCGGUUAGAAAAGUCUGAAGUGAAAGGCAGUGGCUCAACCAUUGUAGGCUUUGGAAACUGUUUGACUUGAGUGCAGAAGGGGAGAGUGGAAUUCCAUGUGUAGCGGUGAAAUGCGUAGAUAUAUGGAGGAACACCGGUGGCGAAAGCGGCUCUCUGGUCUGUAACUGACGCUGAGGCUCGAAAGCGUGGGGAGCGAACAGG
rnacentral:rRNA from 1 species